UUUUUUUUUUUCUGAUCCACAGGAGGCUAAAGCCAGGUUCAUAGUCUGGCACAUGGCAUUUUCUGGACAGUGAGAAUCAGGAAAUGGGGGUGAAUCUUAGAGUCUGAUGAAUCAUGGGAAAAUCUCUCAAUAUUGAGACAGAGAUACUGGAAGGAGGAUGACAUUUGUUUUACAACAAGAGGGAUUCUUGGUGUCAUGGCUGUCUUCUCGGAAGGGAAGAUUGGUCAGGGGCCUGAAAGUCAUAGGUGUUAAAGGGCUGACCCUGAAACAGUCCCUGCAAGGAUAGGGGUGGACCAUCAGGACCAUGAUGGGAAAGUGCUGGUGUUUAGGAUGUCACUUCCCACAAAGUGGCAAUCACUGCAGAGGCCAAGAAGCCUUCCACUGGGUUUGGGGGGUCAGUAUCUCUUCAAUUAAACUAAGGCAAAUUCUUAGCUGCCAUGAAGGCCGGGUGACUUUGGGUUCUAGUCUCAGAUGAGUCCUAGUGGGCCAGAAGCCUGCCUUGCUCUGCUUGACACAGACCAGACAUGAUGGGUAGGACUUAGUUCCACAGUGGAUGUGGGGAGUCCUGUGAGCAGGUGGGAGUGUGUCUGGAGCGCCUAGAAUCAUGGGGCCUGCAUGGUAAAGGUCCUGCAACCAAGCCAAAAUGGGGAUGCUUGUGGGGCUGGGGAUGUUUCGCCUAGAAAAGGGCACAGGAGGCUAGUGUUUUUGGAAUUGCUGUUGCUCCAGAUGACAGAACUGAGGCCAAUAGAUGGAGAUAACAGGAAGAAAAAUUGUGACUCACCAGAGAUAAAGCUAGCUGAUAUUUUAAGACAGUAAAGUCUAGUGGUUGAGAUCUUGGACUCUAGAGUAGAGUCACAAUGGGCACCACCCUGAAUCCUGCUCACAGAUGUGAGUCUGCAACCCACUUGGUGUUGGCCUGCCCUGCCCUGGGAUUUAAAAACUUUCAUCAGUCAUCAGCACAAAUUGGGAGAUUAUGCUUACAAAUCUAUAUGGAUAGCCUCUUUUUAAAAAUCUGAGGAUCUGAUCACCCAAGUUCCUACUCUCUCAAGUAACAAUAAAUGGGACGUGGGUGGCAGCUGCCUCUUCUGAAUAAAGCAAUUGCACUGUGGUUUUUCACAAGUGCUACUUCCUCCACCUUUUUUACAUUUGCACAGUUUCACUGAUUCCCAGGUGUCUGCAGGUAUUGUAGUUUGCAACCCUGUUCUAGUUAAGAACCCAGGGUUUGUAUCCUGGCUUUGCCAAUUUUAAGUUAUUGUGACCUUAAAGAAAGGAGUCAAUUUCUCUAAGCCACAGUUUCCUUAUCUGAAUAUGAGAAUAAUAAUAAUACUUACCAUGAGUUAAAGAACUCCUGGAAAAUGGCUGGCAAGGAGUGAAGCACACCAUGAGCACUCACCAACUCUUAGCUGGUGAAAUGCUGUCCAACAGUGGAGGAGGUAGCCUUGGGAGCUCUGUCGCCAAUGCUGGGCCUGCAGAGGGGCUGCAUGACCUGGCAGUAGCCAGGACUACAGAGAAGGGACAGCCACCAAGAACUCUGAAAUAAGUGGGCCAUGUAGCAGUACUCCUUGGGCCCUUCCCAAUGACCAAGUCAAAGGUGUUGGUGUAGAGCUUCUCUUGAUGCUCAUUAAAAUCAAAUUUGAGGCCAGGUGUGGUAGCUCACGCCUGUAAUCCCAGCAUUUUGGGAGACCAAGGCAGGCAGAUUGCUUGAGCCCAGGAGUUUGAGACCAGCUUAUGCAACAUGGCAAAACCCUGUCUCCACAAAAAAAAAAAAAAAAAAAAAAAAAAAACCAAAACAACAACAACAAAAAACUCCAAAAUUAGCCGGUCAUGGUGGUCCAUGCCUGUAUUCCCAGCUUCUUGGGAGGCUGAGGUGGGAGGAUUACCUGAGCCCAGGGAGGUCGAGACUGCAGUGAACCGUGAUUGCACCUCUGCACUCCAGUGUGGGCAACAGAGGGAGACCCUGUCUCAAAAAUAAGUAAAAUAAAAUAAAAAUAAAAUAAAAUUAGAUUUGAUCUGGAAAGAAAUUUUGUAGAAAAGAAUGUGUCACCUGUAGUAACCUAUAUCCACUUGGGAGGCUGCAGUGUGCUCAGAGUGAGUUGGAGUUCCAGCCCCAGCUGAUGGUGGGUGGGAGCAUUCCCCUGCCCCUUCCUGCUCUGCUGCAGGGCUCCUUGGAGCUCACUGGCAGCAUGUCCUCCCUUGGUAGCUGGAUAGGCCCUUCAGUAGGCUCUGCAGGCUGAGCAGCCAUGGGAGACAGCUAAACCCAUACCCAUACUUUGGCUCUGUGACAGAGUGGUCCAGCACUUCAGGACCUGCCUGGGUCCUGGGUCUGCCCCUGGGUGGGGCCUGGGUGGUAUGGGUUCCCUUCGGGUAGUCUGGACUCAGCCUGAUGAGACAGCCUUUGGGGCUGGUUUCCACUGGCCCCUGAGAAGCCCUCUGCUGGAGCGGCAUGGAGUGACUGAGAGAGUCAGUUCUGUGUCUUAAGCCGUCAUGUAUUUUCUGGUUCUGGAAGCAGAAUCUGCUUUAUGUGCUUGAGAUGCUGAGCCAAGGGCAGACACAUCCUUAUUCUCAGAGAGCCACUACAGGAGAGGAAGCAGGGGUCUACUGGCCGUGAGCACAGCAGUACAUGCCGCAUGUCUGCCAGAUAGGCUGGGAAAAAGCUUGGGGGAGAGGGAGGGCUCACCAGGCCUGGAGGCUGCAGGAAGCCAGCCUCCUGGCCUCUGAGGAUGGUGCUAUGACACCAGUGCUGAGGACUGGUGGGUGCAGUGGGGUGAGUUGAAUGAGCUGGGAAUUCAUGCUCUGAAUCUAUUUCCCCUGCUGCUUCUCCACUCCUCUAUUCUCCCUCCCCUCUCCUCUUCGGUAUUCUCUGUAGCCUUGAUACUUAAAAUAUCAUCACAGCCAGUGAGCAGCUGUCAAUGACCGGUCGGUCCCCUUGCCUCAGCACUAGGUGGUGCUUGUAUCUCCCUUCUGGCUGGCUGAGGAAGCUGGGCAGCAGGAGGCAGAUGCUGGUCCAGAGCCCCUCUUCUUGCAGAAUCAUUAGGCAAAGCUCCCGGCAGCCUGACUUAUGCAGAUGUCAGAGCUCAGGCUUUGUUUCUUGUGCUUGAGCUAAUUGGCAUCUUUGGAGAAGGUUUUCAGCCUCUGGCCUGUGGGCACCUGUCCCUGAGGGGUGGCCCAUCAUUCAGCCUUGGUCUUUGCAUUAGGCCUGUAUAGCUACCGAGUUUUCACCCCCAGCCAUGUCUGAUGGCCUUUGGCUGGAAUCUGGGAUGGUAGAAAGCUGUUGAGACAGUUGAGUCUAAAUUAAAUAUUAGAUCUGGGUGGGUUUCAUGUAUUCCAUAGCAUAAGUUUGUUGGGAUAUUUAUUUGCUCUUCUCCUGGUUCUCGCAAUUUAAUAAUUGAGUAAAAUCCGUUUUGACAUUCAGCACUGAUUUGCUUACAUUCUGCUGAAGUGCACCUGCUCUGUGAGAGAGUGGGUGUUUGUCAGGAGGCUGGGAGAAGUGGGGGCAGACAACAGAAGCUUCAAAUGAGAGACAUGGCUUGGGCACUGACUUUAUAUGUGAAAAUGUGAUUCAGCCUUAAACUUGUGGGUCGCUUGCUAGAUGACAAGCGCUAGAUCAGACUCCAGUGGGAGAGUAAAAUCAUGGAAGAUGCUGUCUUCUUUCAGGAAGCUUGUGUUGGGGAAACAACAGCAAACACAACAACACCAGCUAAAGAGCAGAGUGCAAAGACAGGUGGCUCUCCCCUAUUCCACUGCACAUACACUCACAAUCAGAUACACAUAUGUACACAUUUGGUCAAACCUGUGAAGACCAAACCAGGCUCUGGGUUUUGGGACUGGGGUCAUCAAGACCUACAAGUAAAAUCUCCUUUUUUCAAAUCUGCAUUUCCUUGUAGCAAAGUGGUGGGAGCACAGGCCCUAGAGCCAGAAGGCCUGCCUGAGAAUCUGGCUCCCUCCAUACUAGCUGUUUAUGCUUAGACAUGCCACUUAAACUGUCUGUGCUUCAGUUUCCUCAUCUGUAAAAUGGGAAUUUCAGUGUCUAUUUCACAAGUUUGCUGAGAGGUUUAAAGAAGUUAAAACAUGUAUGUGCUUCAGAGUCUGGCACAUGGGCAGUGCUCAGUAGCUAUGACUAUUGUUCCAAAGAUCUGACCACUUUUCACUGCUUGCAGAAGUAAACGGUAGACGUUCAGACCAUAAGGGAAAAACAGAGGCCCAUUUUUAAGAUGAGAAAGUGGGACAAAUAAUAGAAUAUCUGCCUGGUUUCAGGAGAGGAGAGGGUCCUGGAAACUUAGUGCUUCUUACACAGCCCCAACUGAAUUCAAUUCAUCAAAAGUAUAAUGAGGAUCUGCUGUGCACAAGAUAUGUAAGUGUUGUGGGGAAACAGGUGCUUCAAGUAUGGAGCCCAUCCUCUACCUCAGGAGGUGGAACAGACAGAUAAAAACAAAGAGUAGAACAUGACAAAUAUCACAAACACUCAGGAAGACCCUAAGUUGUGAGAAGGGAGGAAAGCCCUCUUGAGUUUUGGAGAGGAAGGUAUCAGGGACAGCAUACAUCAGAACAGGAAGGCAGAAAACUUGGCAUAUAUCUGAGAACAGGACAGAGUCUAUUUUGGUUGGAGCAAGCUUGGGUGAGAAAGGGUGUUGGGCUAUCAAUGGAAAGUGUGGGAUGCAAAGGCAGGGUGAGUUGGCACUUCAUCGACAGAUAAUGGAAGGUCACUGAAGGCUUUCUGAGCAGGAGUAGAAUCUUUUUAUAUUUUAAAAUUAGUAGACUAUAAUAAGUGAGGAAGAUGGAGGGAUGAAAGAUGACAACUUUUGUUCAUUUGUUUGUUUGUUUUGCCUGGGUGACUAUCUGAAUGAUGGUAUCUGCUAGAGACAGGGAAGUCAGAAGAAAGGGCCAAAUCACUGGAGAAAGAAAAUGCUUUGCUUGGACAUUCUGGAUGGGAAGUUCCAGUGAGUCAUCCUGGUGGCAAUGACUGGCAGAUUGUUGGAAAUGGAGGAGCUAAAGUGAGAGAGGCUAAGAAUAGAGAUAUGGAUUUGGGAGUUAGUGGCAAAUAGAGUUAAACUACAGGAAUGUAUAUGAUGGCCUGAGAAGAAAUUAUAGGAGAAGUAAGAAGGACUAAGGGCUGAGCCUGGGAGACAGGACAUGGAGGGGAAAUGCAGCUGAGAGGAGCCUUGAAGAAGACUGAAGAGGAAUAAUUGCUACUGAGGAGAAGCAAGGCAGUUCAGUGUGAUGGAUGCCAAAAGAUGGAGAAGUCAAAGAGGAAUUAGUACUGAAAUUAAUAUUAAUCAAUGGCAAGGAAGACCAGAGCAGAGGAUAGUCCUGUGACAAAUGGUCACAAGCUUCUCCCAGCUGUGAAAUAUCUUUCCUUCGUGGUCCCCUGCUGGAGAGUUCAUGUCUCCACUGCCUUCCUCAACCUCUGCAUGUGGAGUCUGCACUUGACAAGAUCAAUGCAGCAUUACUGCCUGCUGAGUUUCCUGGAUUUGCUGAGCUAAACAAGUUCAUUCGCACCCAGUUCCACCUGCGAUGAAGAUCCAUCUACAGGGCUGGAACUGACAGGGAAAACUUUUCAUCCCAUCUGAGGUCACCUUCACUUACAGGAUGCUGGCUGCUGAUAAGUAUCCUAUCAGGAGAAGAAAAGAAAAAUAAUUUGACACUUAUAGCCUGUCUUGAAAGAUGAGAUUCACUUAUCAGCAAACCAGAUGAAGAGAAUCACUGAGCACAGAAAUGAGAUCUGAGUACACUAGAACUCAACUAAUGUAUCCCUGCCCAUACAGGGUUAGUCUCUACAAAUUGCCUAUUUCAGUUAUUUAGCCCCAUUUUUUCCCAGAGAUGGUGUGUUUCACAUAAUCAAUAGCUACAAAAUAAAAGCAGCAUCUGCCUUGCCUUCUUUUCCCGUUAUUUGGCUGUGGCCUCCUAACAAUGUGACAAACAGAAGAAGAGAGAAGUAAACAAGAAAUCAAAGAGAUCUAGGGGAGAUGGCUAACGUGGGGGUGAGGAGAGAAGCAAAUACCGGUUUCACAACAGGUUGAAUCAUUGCCAAGGAACCCAGAUUGACAAAUAUGAUAUACUGUUGAGAUUCUCAGUGGCAACUGUUGCCAGUUUUGCAAAAGAGCAGUGUUAUUGGAGCCGGAUUUGGAAAGCAGAUUUUGUGAAAAGUCUAGGAUUCUGCUGUCUCCCAGGACUUGGUUCUAAUUUUGUCUUUGGGCUGUCCUCAAUGCUCCCACCUCUCACGCAUGUGUUCUAUUUGGGGGCUUAUUGUGGAGGAAGCCAGCUAAUGCUACAUCCAGAAAGAGAGAGGGAGAAAAAAAGUCCAAAUAUAUAUUUUUCUUUAU